GACGAACGCUGGCGGCGUGCUUAACACAUGCAAGUCGAACGGAAAGGCCCUGCUUUUGUGGGGUGCUCGAGUGGCGAACGGGUGAGUAACACGUGAGUAACCUGCCCUUGACUUUGGGAUAACUUCAGGAAACUGGGGCUAAUACCGGAUAGGAGCUCCUGCUGCAUGGUGGGGGUUGGAAAGUUUCGGCGGUUGGGGAUGGACUCGCGGCUUAUCAGCUUGUUGGUGGGGUAGUGGCCUACCAAGGCUUUGACGGGUAGCCGGCCUGAGAGGGUGACCGGCCACAUUGGGACUGAGAUACGGCCCAGACUCCUACGGGAGGCAGCAGUGGGGAAUAUUGCACAAUGGGCGGAAGCCUGAUGCAGCAACGCCGCGUUCGGGAUGACGGCCUUCGGGUUGUAAACCGCUUUCGCCUGUGACGAAGCGUGAGUGACGGUAAUGGGUAAAGAAGCACCGGCUAACUACGUG
rnacentral:rRNA from 1 species